rnacentral:rRNA from 1 species
ACACUCCUGCGGGAGGCAGCAGUGGGGAAUUUUGGACAAUGGGCGAAAGCCUGAUCCAGCAAUGCCGCGUGAGUGAAGAAGGCCUUCGGGUUGUAAAGCUCUUUUGUCAGGGAAGAAACGGUGAGAGCUAAUAUCUUUUGCUAAUGACGGUACCUGAAGAAUAAGCACCGGCUAACUACGUGCCAGCAGCCGCGGUAAUACGUAGGGUGCAAGCGUUAAUCGGAAUUACUGGGCGUAAAGCGUGCGCAGGCGGUUUUGUAAGUCUGAUGUGAAAUCCCCGGGCUCAACCUGGGAAUUGCAUUGGAGACUGCAAGGCUAGAAUCUGGCAGAGGGGGGUAGAAUUCCACGUGUAGCAGUGAAAUGCGUAGAUAUGUGGAGGAACACCGAUGGCGAAGGCAGCCCCCUGGGUCAAGAUUGACGCUCAUGCACGAAAGCGUGGGGAGCAAACAGGAUUAGAUACCCCAGUAGUCCCAUGAU